CCACAAGGGGCAGCCAAUCUUUAUCUCUAAAACAUCCAGGUCACAAUUUCCACAUCAGUUUGGCAAAAGACAGGUCAGAUCUCUUCGUUAAUCCAUACAGAUCAUCCCACGUGUAUCGUAUCUGGUAACGGCUAGAACGAUCCAUAAACAUCUGUCUUUUUCCAUCCUUUUAAAUAAUGGUCCUCGUUUCUCGCAAUUCCUUUUUCCGAUUC